rnacentral:rRNA from 2 species
GUUAAUGGGUGAUGGCGUGCCUUUUGUAGAAUGAACCGGCGAGUUACGAUCUGAUGCAAGGUUAAGCAGGAAAUGUGGAGCCGUAGCGAAAGCGAGUCUGAAUAGGGCGUUUAGUAUUUGGUCGUAGACCCGAAACCAGGUGAUCUACCCAUGGUCAGGUUGAAGUUCAGGUAACACUGAAUGGAGGACCGAACCGACUUACGUUGAAAAGUGAGCGGAUGAACUGUGGGUAGCGGAGAAAUUCCAAUCGAACUUGGAGAUAGCUGGUUCUCUCCGAAAUAGCUUUAGGGCUAGCCUCAAGUGAUGAUUAUUGGAGGUAGAGCACUGUUUGGACGAGGGGCCCCUCUCGGGUUACCGAAUUCAGACAAACUCCGAAUGCCAAUUAAUUUAACUUGGGAGUCAGAACAUGGGUGAUAAGGUCCGUGUUCGAAAGGGAAACAGCCCAGACCACCAGCUAAGGUCCCAAAAUAUAUGUUAAGUGGAAAAGGAUGUGGCGUUGCCCAGACAACUAGGAUGUUGGCUUAGAAGCAGCCAUCAUUUAAAGAGUGCGUAAUAGCUCACUAGUCGAGUGACACUGCGCCGAAAAUGUACCGGGGCUAAACAUAUUACCGAAGCUGUGGAUUGUCCUUUGGACAAUGGUAGGAGAGCGUUCUAAGGGCGUUGAAGCAUGAUCGCAAGGACAUGUGGAGCGCUUAGAAGUGAGAAUGCCGGUGUGAGUAGCGAAAGACGGGUGAGAAUCCCGUCCACCGAUUGACUAAGGUUUCCAGAGGAAGGCUCGUCCGCUCUGGGUUAGUCGGGUCCUAAGCUGAGGCCGACAGGCGUAGGCGAUGGAUAACAGGUUGAUAUUCCUGUACCACCUAACAUCGUUUUAAUCGAUGGGGGGACGCAGUAGGAUAGGCGAAGCGUGCUGUUGGAGUGCACGUCUAAGCAGUGAGAUUGAGUGUUAGGCAAAUCCGGCACUCUUAAGAUUGAGCUGUGAUGGGGAGAGGAAAUUGUUUCCUCGAGUCGUUGAUUUCACACUGCCGAGAAAAGCCUCUAGAUAGAUAAUAGGUGCCCGUACCGCAAACCGACACAGGUAGUCAAGAUGAGAAUUCUAAGGUGAGCGAGCGAACUCUCGUUAAGGAACUCGGCAAAAUGACCCCGUAACUUCGGGAGAAGGGGUGCUCUUUAGGGUGCAAGCCCAGAAGAGCCGCAGUGAAUAGGCCCAAGCGACUGUUUAUCAAAAACACAGGUCUCUGCUAAACCGUAAGGUGAUGUAUAGGGGCUGACGCCUGCCCGGUGCUGGAAGGUUAAGAGGAGUGGUUAGCUUCUGCGAAGCUACGAAUCGAAGCCCCAGUAAACGGCGGCCGUAACUAUAACGGUCCUAAGGUAGCGAAAUUCCUUGUCGGGUAAGUUCCGACCCGCACGAAAGGCGUAACGAUUUGGGCACUGUCUCAACGAGAGACUCGGUGAAAUCAUAGUACCUGUGAAGAUGCAGGUUACCCGCGACAGGACGGAAAGACCCCGUGGAGCUUUACUGUAGCCUGAUAUUGAAAUUCGGCACAGCUUGUACAGGAUAGGUAGGAGCCUUUGAAGCGUGAGCGCUAGCUUACGUGGAGGCGCUGGUGGGAUACUACCCUAGCUGUGUUGGCUUUCUAACCCGCACCACUUAUCGUGGUGGGAGACAGUGUCAGGCGGGCAGUUUGACUGGGGCGGUCGCCUCCUAAAAGGUAACGGAGGCGCUCAAAGGUUCCCUCAGAAUGGUUGGAAAUCAUUCAUAGAGUGUAAAGGCAUAAGGGAGCUUGACUGCGAGACCUACAAGUCGAGCAGGGUCGAAAGACGGACUUAGUGAUCCGGUGGUUCCGCAUGGAAGGGCCAUCGCUCAACGGAUAAAAGCUACCCCGGGGAUAACAGGCUUAUCUCCCCCAAGAGUUCACAUCGACGGGGAGGUUUGGCACCUCGAUGUCGGCUCAUCGCAUCCUGGGGCUGUAGUCGGUCCCAAGGGUUGGGCUGUUCGCCCAUUAAAGCGGUACGCGAGCUGGGUUCAGAACGUCGUGAGACAGUUCGGUCCCUAUCCGUCGUGGGCGUAGGAAAUUUGAGAGGAGCUGUCCUUAGUACGAGAGGACCGGGAUGGACAUACCUCUGGUGUACCAGUUGUCGUGCCAACGGCAUAGCUGGGUAGCUAUGUAUGGACGGGAUAAGUGCUGAAAGCAUCUAAGCAUGAAGCCCCCCUCAAGAUGAGAUUUCCCAACUUCGGUUAUAAGAUCCCUCAAAGAUGAUGAGGUUAAUAGGUUCGAGGUGGAAGCGUGGUGACACGUGGAGCUGACGAAUACUAAUCGAUCGAAGACUUAAUCAAUUU